AUUGAACGCUGGCGGCAGGCCUAACACAUGCAAGUCGAGCGGAGCGGCGGACGGGUGAGUAAGGCCUAGGAAUCUGCCCGGUAGUGGGGGAUAACGUCAGGAAGCGGGCGCUAAUACCGCAUACUAUCAGAUCAGUCUCGGUCGGAUUAGCUAGUUGGGGGGGUAAAGGCCUACCAAGGCGACGAUCCGUAACUGGUCUGAGAGGAUGAUCAGUCACACUGGAACUGAGACACUGUCCAGACUCCUACGGGAGGCAGCAGGGGGGAAUAUUGGACAAUGGGCGAAAGCCUGAUCCAGCCAGGCCGCGUGUGUGAAGAAGGUCUUCGGAUUGUAAAGCACUUGCAGUUGGGAGGCGUUACCAACAGAAUAAGCACCGGCUAACUUCGUGCCAGCAGCCGCGGUAAUUC
rnacentral:rRNA from 1 species